CGCAAACAAAUGUUAACGUUGGUUGAGUAAAAGCGAGUGUGGGUGAUCAGUCUCAAGAAGUUGUCUAGAACGGGACUCUAGGAUGAACUAACGUACAAUUUGCGGUGUUACUUCCUCAGAAAAGCCCGUCCUUUUCAGUCAAGCCGAGGGGCUUCACAGAGAGAACAACAACUUAGCAUAACGUCAAUAUUUCUUCAUUUCGUGUUCAUCAUCAGCAUGUGGGCUUUCAUACUGUUUUUCAUCUGCAUGGAAGUGCAUGGAAAGGCUGAUGACGUCGAAACCCUGAUUAACAUAAAGGAGGGAGAUAUUCUCACUCUGCUUCCAGAACUCGAUGAUCUUCACGAAACCGUUCAGAUAUUGUGGACGUUUGAAAAUGGCGGAUUAAAAACCCGCCUUGCACAGAUGCAUCAAGGGAAUAUUUACACUCAUUAUGACGUACAAUUCACUGGCAGAGUAAAUCUAGACAGGGAGACGGGGAUUUUAACUCUAUCAGACAUCAAGAUCAAUGAAUCUGGACUGUAUAAAGCAUUAAUCAUCACCAAUAAACACAUGCUAGGACGAAGAUAUAAAGUUAUCGUUUAUGGUAAGUUACAGAAACUAUUAACAAAUAACAUGUAAUCAUAAUCACUGCUGUAUUGGUCUUUUAAAAGUUUCUUCUUGUCCAAAGCAUCAGUCUCUUUACCUGCCAUUAGGAGAAGGUCAUCUGUGGACCAUUCAACAGGUAUGACUUUAUGAUUUGUAUACUGUAAUAAUUAAUACAAUUAGAAAAGUAAAGUUCGAAGGCAAACUUUAUGGUGGCUUGAGAAAGCCUCGUCUGAAAGUUUGAAGUAGUUUUUAAUUAGUUUAAAACAGUCAAAACUACAUAUAGGUUAGCAUGUUUAGCUGAUAGGGGGUUCUGAGUGGUUACUAAGUGGUUGCUAGGAUGUUCUGAUUCGUUGCUAGGCUGUUGCUAAGGUGUUGCUAGGUCAUUGCUAAGGUGUUGCUAGAGUGUUCUGAGUGUUUGCUAGGUGGUUGCUAAAGUGUUUCUAGGUGGUUGUAAGGUGUUGCUAGGCGGUUGCCAAGGUGUUUUAUAUCGUUGCUAAGGUAUUGCUAGGUGGUUGCUAGGGUGUUCUGAGUGGUUGCUAAGGUGUUGCUAGGGUGUUUUGAUUGGUUGCUAAGGGGCUAGGUCAUUGCUAAGUUGUUCUGAGUGGUUGUUAGGUGGUUGCUAGAGUGUUGCUAGGUGGUUGCUAAAGUGUUGCUAUGUGGUUGCUAAGGCAUUGCUAGGUGGUUGCUAAGGUGUUGCUAGGUGGUUGCUAAUGUCUUGCUAGGGUGUUUUGAUUGGUAGCUAGGUGUUUGCUAAGGUGUUGCUAGGUGGUUGCUAAGGUGUUCUGGG
rnacentral:lncRNA from 1 species